ACAACACAGAUGAACCUUAAACACAUUAUGUUAAAUAAAAAAAGCUAGACACAAAAGACCAUGCAUUUUAUUAUUUUAUUUAUUUGAAAUAUCCAGAAUAAGAAAAUCUAUGAAGACAGACAGUAGUGGUUUUUGGGCUGAAGAAGAGUAGAAAUGGAGAGUGACUGCUAAUGUCUAUGAGUCUAUGGGGCUUCUUUUUUGGUUGAUGAAAAUGUUUUGGUAUGAGAGUGAUGAUGGUUGCACUAAACUGAAAGCCCUAAAAACUACAUUUGCACUUUGAAUGGUAAAUUUAAUUGUAUGUGAGUUAUAUUUUAAUAAAACUGUUUUCUAAGUAAAAAAUGAAAUAAACACUAAAAGUUAUUACUGUCUUAAUGGAGUCUCCAAAUCAUCUGUUGUUGUUGUUGUUGUUGUUGUUGUUGUUGUUGUUGUUGACAGGGCCUUUCUCUGUCACAGAGCACAGCGGCACAAUCAUGGCUUACUGCAGCUUUGACUUCCAGGAAUCAAAGGAGCCUCCUACCUCAGCCUCCAAAGUAGCUGGGACUACAGGCAUGCACCACCAUACCUGGACAAUAUUUUUAAAAGUUUUGUAGAGACAGAAUCUUACUGUGAUCCCCAGGCUGGUCUCAAAUUCCUGGACUCAAGUAAUCCUCCUGCCUCAGCCUCCUAAAGUGGUGGAAUUACAGGAGUGAGCCACUGUGCUAUGCCACCAAAUUAUUCCUAUGUUCUAACUCUUCAGCUACACCAUCAAAUGAAUCAGAAUAAUACAGGAUACAUAUAAAGGUGAAAAACACAUGAGUGAUGCCUCAUAUUGACAUAAUGCACAUAUACUUUCAAUUCAAGAAAAUGAGAUUUACCUGCAUUUCCUGAAGCAUGAGAUUUGUGUUAAAUAUUUAGGAUCAAUAAGUCAAUACAUAUCUCUUUACGCCAGAUUAUGGGGGACUUUAAAUGAAGUUGAUCAUGUAUUAAAAUUAUUGAAUAUAGGUGAUGGGUACAGGUAAUGAUACUAUUCUGUUUUCAUCACCCAUUUGAAAUUGUCAUAAUAAAAACUAAAAAGUGUAUAUUUUUAAACUACUGCUAGACACUGGAGAAUAUAAAAAUAAAUAAGCAUGUCUUUGGUCCUUAAUGAGUUGGAAAUUUAAUGGAGAAAUACUGUACCACAUACCCAAAAAGAAUUAUUUAAAAAGAAAAAUUAAUCAAAGGAUUGUGGUUAAAGAGAGAGAGGUGGGUAGAGAAAGAUGGCAUCCUGCCAAAGUGUUAUAAGGAAAUGGCAUUUAAGCUAAGAUUUCAAUAGGCAGAGCUGGGAGUGAAAAGCUGAGAGGACAAAAGGUGACAGGGUAGUUUCAUGUUCAGAGCAGAGAUUUGCUCUGGAGAUAGCCUGAAGAAUUUGUCUGAGUGGUAGGAAUCACAGAGAAGAAAACCAGCUAUAAGGCAAUUGCAGUAAAUCUAUAACUGUAAUACACAGAGCUGAAUAAACGUGAUAGCAGUUUUUAAAAAAAACAAGCCAGUUUGUUAAAAUAUAUUAGGAAGAAUGCAUUCUUAAAUAGCAAAUGCUCUUGUUUUUCAGUAAUAACAAUGACAACCAUCUUGUAAUGUAAAGGACCACUAGAAGUCAUUUAAACACAUACUCAUUUAAGGGAUAAAACAUUAAUUUUUGUUCAGUGUGAGCAACUGCUUUGAUAAGAACAUCAGUACUUCCUCUGUUUAUCUAUUCCAUUCUUAGACACUCUCCCUCAGAACUAAGAAAGCUCACUGAAUCUUAGUUAUUCUCUCAGAAAUCACAGAAUAAACCUUAGCCUCACCCACAUUACUUUCCUUCAAUAUUUUAGGAUGGUCUUCAUGUUUGUCAUACUUCAUUCUAGAAUAAACAUCCCCAGUUGCAUACAGUUUUCAAAUUUAAGUUGAGUAUUUAUGGCUUACUAAAGGCUACUGAUACAUUCAAUCAUGUAAUCAUUUUAGACAUGAAGCAAAGGACCUAAUAAAAUAAACAAUAAAAAAUGUCCUCUGCAGCUAUAGCCACACUGUGUCCAUGUGUCCUGUGAAUGCCAUCGUGCUUGCUCCAGUAGUGCACAGAAUUCACACAAAGAGUUUUGGAAAACAUGACUUCAUCAAUGAUACCUGCUAGCUCAGUAAAGUCCAAUUGAGAAGGAACUUCCAGUUUCUGUCUUCUCCCUGUAUGAUGUCUAUCUUCAAAGAUGGGGAGAAGUGGUUGUUUUUCAAAUGAAUGAAUUUCAACAAAAAGUUACAAGACGCAUGGUAAAACAAUAAAACGUGGUCCAUUCCAAACUAAAACUCUAGAAACUGGUCAUAAAGAAGUGAAAGUAUAUAGAUUAUCUGUGAAAAAAUUUAAAAUGACAGACAUUAAGGUGCUCAGUGAGCUCAGGAAAAUGAUACAUAAUCAAAAUGAGAAUAUCAGCAAAGAGAUAGAAAUUAUAAAAUGUGGCCGACUGCCACUACUACUACUUGAGACCGUCAUUACAGCAGUUACUGCUGUUACUGCUUGAGACUGUCAUUACAAGACUGAAUGAACGGACGAACAUAGAAAUCAUAACAGAAAACAAAAGUAACUAUUUUAAGGAAAGGCUAGCAUGGGGAAGAAGAGAGCUCCCUGCUUCUAGUGAGGAAAGGCAGCCCCUGAGCUUCCACAACCCUUCUUAUUUAUUGGGUAACAAGAGCAAGAAGGAGGAGGUAACGAUUGGUCAGCUGCUUAAUUGACCACAGGUUCAUAUUGUUACUGACAGGCUUCAAUUAUGCCUCAUUAUAAGAA
rnacentral:lncRNA from 10 species